GGGGGAGUCGUAUAGCGGCAAUUACACUUGACUGUAAAUCAAGCGGCUUCGGUCUUCAUUGGUUCGAGUCCAAUCUCCCCCA
rnacentral:tRNA from 1 species